UACGGGGGGAGCAAGCGUUGUUCGGAUUUACUGGGCGUAAAGGGCGCGUAGGCGGCGCAACAAGUCACUUGUGAAAUCUCCGGGCUUAACCCGGAGCGGCCAAGUGAUACUGUCGUGCUAGAGUGCGGAAGGGGCUACUGGAAUUCUCGGUGUAGAGGUGAAAUUCGUAGAUAUCGAGAGGAACACCGGUGGCGAAGGCGGCCUUCUGGACAGUGACUGACGCUGAGACGCGAAAGCGUGGGGAGCAAACAGG
rnacentral:rRNA from 1 species